AAACUCAGGCUGUUUUUGUCAAACACUUGUGAAAUUUGUCUUGUUACCAGAAUCGUUAAAUCUCUGAGAUUUGAUUUUCCUCCCUAGUGUUGAGCCAUCUAGACUUUCUUCUUGGAAUAUUUGACCACAAAAAAAAAAAAAGUUAUGUUCUCUUUUACAGUCAUGUUCAUCUCCACGUGAUCAGCCAAGACUUUGACUCUCCGUGUUUAAAGAAUAAAAAACACUGGAACUCUUUCACAACUGACUAUUUUAUUGAGUCACAUGAUGUGAUUCAGAUGCUUGAAACAGAUGGAAGGGUUGCCGUCAAAGAAGGAACCACUGAGUUGCUGAAACUACCUCUCCGCUGUCACAUGUGCCGAAAAGAGCUUCCCACUAUACCAGCUCUGAAGGAACACCUGAAGUCUCACUUCCCCAGCUAGGACAUCCAACUCAAAGAGAUGAUAAUGCAGCAUAUGUUUACUGGUUCAGUCAUUGGACUGUAGUUUGUUUGGCAUACAUUUUGCCUGUUAAUUCUGAUUUUGGUUUGUUAGACUUCCUUUAUCAGUAGGUUUGAAAAGAGUUAUUAUAAAGAUGCUCGCAUUAUAUUUUGGAUUUCAUUUGUAGGCUUUUUUUCCUUCCUUAGUUUGUAAUGAGGGAUACUGCUUCUGUUUUCUUUCUAUUUUCCUACAUGUUUGAAUGUGUUGUAAUAAAUAUUUGUCCACUGAA